rnacentral:tRNA from 1 species
GGUGGCUCAGUGGUAGAGCACUUGCCUUGCAUGCAUGAGACCCUGGGUUCGAUUCCCCAGCACCA